rnacentral:rRNA from 1 species
GAUGAACGCUGGCGGCGUGCCUAAUACAUGCAAGUCGAGCGAACGGACGAGAAGCUUGCUUCUCUGAUGUUAGCGGCGGACGGGUGAGUAACACGUGGAUAACCUACCUAUAAGACUGGGAUAACUUCGGGAAACCGGAGCUAAUACCGGAUAAUAUUUUGAACCGCAUGGUUCAAAAGUGAAAGACGGUCUUGCUGUCACUUAUAGAUGGAUCCGCGCUGCAUUAGCUAGUUGGUAAGGUAACGGCUUACCAAGGCAACGAUGCAUAGCCGACCUGAGAGGGGGUCCGGCAACAGUGGAAAUGAGACGCGGUCCAGGCCCCGACGGGAGGCACAAGGAGGGAAUUUUGCCAAAUGGGGGAAAGCCUGAACGAGCAACUGCGGGGGGAUGAAGUAGGUCUGCGGAUCGGAAAACGUUUUUAUUGGGGAAAAACAUAUGGGUAAGUAACUGUGCACAUCUUAACGGUACCUAAACAGAAAGCCACGCCAAACUCCGG